GUGGGGAAUCUUCCGCAAUGGACGAAAGUCUGACGGAGCGACGCCGCGUGAGUGAAGAAGGCCUUCGGGUCGUAAAGCUCUGUCAUCAGGGACGAACGGCCGGUGGAGUGGAAAGCCACCGGAUUGACGGUACCUGAGAAGGAAGCCACGGCUAACUACGUGCCAGCAGCCGCGGUAAUACGUAGGUGGCAAGCGUUGUCCGGAAUUAUUGGGCGUAAAGCGCGCGCAGGUGGGAUCUUAAGUCCAUUUUUAAAGUUCGGAGCUCAACUCCGUGAUGGGAUGGAAACUGGGAUUCUUGAGUACCGGAGAGGAAAGCGGAAUUCCCCGUGUAGCGGUGAAAUGCGUAGAUAUGGGGAGGAACACCAGUGGCGAAGGCGGCUUCCUGGCACAAGACUGACGCUCAUGUGCGAAAGCUAGGGGAGCGAACGGGAUUAGAAACCCUGGUAGUCC
rnacentral:rRNA from 1 species